GACGAACGCUGGCGGCGUGCCUAAUACAUGCAAGUCGAGCGCAGGAAGCCGUCUGAACCCUUCGGGGGGACGACGGUGGAAUGAGCGGCGGACGGGUGAGUAACACGUAAAGAACCUGCCCAUAGGUCUGGGAUAACCACGAGAAAUCGGGGCUAAUACCGGAUGUGUCAUCGGACCGCAUGGUCCGCUGAUGAAAGGCGCUUCGGCGUCGCCCAUGGAUGGCUUUGCGGUGCAUUAGCUAGUUGGUGGGGUAACGGCCCACCAAGGCGACGAUGCAUAGCCGACCUGAGAGGGUGAUCGGCCACACUGGGACUGAGACACGGCCCAGACUCCUACGGGAGGCAGCAGUAGGGAAUCUUCCACAAUGGACGAAAGUCUGAUGGAGCAACGCCGCGUGAACGAUGAAGGCUUUCGGGUCGUAAAGUUCUGUUGUAAGGGAAGAACAAGUGCCGCAGGCAAUGGCGACACCUUGACGGUACCUUGCGAGAAAGCCACGGCUAACUACGUGCCAGCCGCCGCCGUAA
rnacentral:rRNA from 1 species